AUACGAAGGGUGCAAGCGUUACUCGGAAUUACUGGGCGUAAAGCGUGCGUAGGUGGUUGUUUAAGUCUGUCGUGGAAGCCCUGGGCUCAACCUGGGAAUGGCGAUGGAAACUGGGCGACUAGAGUGUGGCAGAGGGUAGUGGAAUUCCUGGUGUAGCAGUGAAAUGCGUAGAGAUCAGGAGGAACAUCCGUGACGAAGGCGACUGCCUGGGCCAACACUGGCACUGAGGCACGAAAGCGUGGGGAGCAAACAGGAUUAGAUACCCUGGUAUUCCACGUCAUAAACGAUGCUAACUCGAUGUUGGUUGCAAUUUGGCACGCAGUAUCGAAGCUAACGCGUUAAGUUCGCCGCCUGGGGAGUACGGUCUCAAGACUGAAACUCAAAUGAAUUGACGGGG
rnacentral:rRNA from 1 species